AGAAGUAUCUGGAAGGGCUGGCCUGACAGUUCGUUUCCGGGACCGGGAAGUGGGUCAGCCUGGAAAGAAGCGAGACUCUGUCGUAAGACCAUAUUGAUUUGACAGGCAGCUAAAGCACAUCCGGAGCUGUCGCCUUGGGCCAGCACAAGCCGGAUCACCACCUCACGAACUGUCACCGAAUAAAGUGUAUUCACGCACCACCAGUACGACUGCACGCACCCGAGACGGGUGAACGUGUUUUUGUUUCUUUAUUCAGGACUGAAACCUGUGUUUUUCAUCCCGCGCUCUACACAUCGUUGUGUAUUGCCGGGGCUUAUUAUUAUUUACGGUCACUAGACCAGGAAAGAAAAUAAAAGCAUUUUUUCACUGGA